rnacentral:rRNA from 1 species
AUCUCAAAGAUUAAGCCAUGCAUGUCUAAGUCCAAGCUGUUGUUCACACGGCGAGACCGCGGACGGCUCAUUAAAUCAGUCGUGGUCCAAAUGGGCCAGUGCAAAUCCUACUUGGAUAACUGUGGUAAUUCCAGAGCUAAUACAUGCAACUGAUAUCCCGAAGGCGAUGGUUGUGCUUGCUUGUCUUGCGCUCUCACUGCUCUGACGGAUGCUUUUAUAGACCAAACUGCUGAGGACUUGAGGGUUCGCCUUCUUGUCUGACUCGUGUAAUGGUGACUCUGGAUAACCAAUCUGACAAGCGCACGUACUUCUCUUCUGAGCGAGACGGCGCUGCCACUUUCGAGUGUCUGCCUUAUCAGCUAUCAACCGUUCGUUAUGCGCGACCGAUGGCUUUGACGGGUAACGGGGAAUCAGGGUUCGAUUCCGGAGAGGCAGCCUGAGAGACGGCUACCACGUCCAAGGACGGCAGCAGGCACGCAAAUUACCCAAUCCCAGCAAAUGGGGGAGGUAGUGACGAAAUCUAACGAUGCGGGCGCCCUUUCUGGGCCCCGCAAUCGGAAUGGGCACUUUCUAAACAACCUGUUGAGAACCUACUGAAGGGCAAGUCUGGUGCCAGCAGCCGCGGUAUUUCCAGCUUC